GUCCACGCUGUAAACGGUGUUCACUAAGUGUUGGAGGUAUCGACCCCUUCAGUGCUAAAGACAAUUCGUUAAGUGAACCGCCUGGGAAGUACGAUCGCAAGAUUAAAACUCAAAGAAAUUGACGGGGGCCCGCACAAGCAGUGGAGCAUGUGGUUUAAUUCGACGGUACACGAAGAACCUCACCAGGGCUUGACAUCUAAAGAAUCCUCUAGAAACAGAGGAGUGCCCGCAAUGGAGCUUUAAGACAGGUGGUGCAUGGCUGUCGU
rnacentral:rRNA from 1 species